AUUGAACGCUGGCGGCAGGCCUAACACAUGCAAGUCGAGCGGAUGAAGGGAGCUUGCUCCUGGAUCCAGCGGCGGACGGGUGAGUAAUGCCUAGGAAUCUGCCUGGUAGUGGGGGAUAACGUCCGGAAACGGGCGCUAAUACCGCAUACGUCCUGAGGGAGAAAGUGGGGGAUCUUCGGACCUCACGCUAUCAGAUGAGCCUAGGUCGGAUUAGCUAGUUGGUGGGGUAAAGGCCUACCAAGGCGACGAUCCGUAACUGGUCUGAGAGGAUGAUCAGUCACACUGGAACUGAGACACGGUCCAGACUCCUACGGGAGGCAGCAGUGGGGAAUAUUGGACAAAGGGCGAAAGCCUGAUCCAGCCAUGCCGCGUGUGUGAAGAAGGUCUUCGGAUUGUAAAGCACUUUAAGUUGGGAGGAAGGGCAGUAAGUUAAUACCUUGCUGUUUUGACGUUACCAACAGAAUAAGCACCGGCUAACUUCGUG
rnacentral:rRNA from 1 species